UACGUAGGGGGCAAGCGUUGUCCGGAUUUAUUGGGCGUAAAGAGCGUGUAGGCGGCCUGAAAGGUCAGCUGUGAAAACUCGAGGCUCAACCUCGAGACGUCGGUUGAAACCAUCCGGCUAGAGUCCGGAAGAGGAGUGUGGAAUUCCCGGUGUAGCGGUGAAAUGCGCAGAUAUCGGGAUGAACACCCGUGGCGAAGGCGGCACUCUGGGACGGUACUGACGCUGAGACGCGAAAGCGUGGGGAGCGAACAGG
rnacentral:rRNA from 1 species